GGCCGCGUAGCGUAAUGGAUAACGCGUCUGACUUCGGAUCAGAAGAUUGCAGGUUCGAGUCCUGCUGCGUUCG
rnacentral:tRNA from 1 species